CCAUCACUUUCGCAUAGGUUUGCACAAGGUAAGACAGUUUUAUGUUAACUGGUUCUACUUUGCAAGUAAUGAAUAUUGCAAGGUCAAAGAUGUAAUUAUUUGUAAUAAAAGUGAAUAUUUAUUCUGCAGGUGAUUUCAACGGCAUCCUACUUGGGGACAGAGGUUAUCCGUGCCUGCCGUUUCUUUUGACCCCUUACAUGAAUCCUGCUUCAGAUCAGCAGAGGGCCUUUAACUGUGCACAUGCUAGAACCAGGGAACGAGUGGAGAUGCUGUUUGGACUUAUGAAAUCCAGGUUUCAGUGCCUGAAAGUGGCUCCCGACAGG